GGNGAACGCUGGCGGCGUGCUUGACACAUGCAAGUCGAACGGUAUGUGGCAACACAUAGAGUGGCGAACGGGUGAGUAACACGUGGGAACGUACCCUACGCAGGGGGAUAACUGACCGAAAGGACAGCUAAUACCGCAUAAGACCGAAAGGUGAAAGGUGCAACUGCACCGGCGAAGGAGCGGCCCGCGGACCAUCAGCUAGUUGGUGGGGUAAGAGCCUACCAAGGCAACGACGGAUAGCCGGCGUGAGAGCGUGGCCGGCCACAAGGACACUGAGAUACGGGUCCUACUCCUACGGGAGGCAGCAGUGCGGAAUUUUAGAUAAUGGAGGCAACUCUGAUCUAGCGACGCCGCGUGCAGGAAGAAGGUCUUCGGAUUGUAAACUGCUGUGGUAAGGGAAAAAUGCCAUGUAGAGUGGAAAGCUACAUGGAGGGAUGGUACUUUACUAGAAAGCCCCGGCUAACUACGUGCCAGCAGCCGCGGUAAUACGUAGGGGGCGAGCGUUACCCGGAAUCACUGGGCGUAAAGGGAGCGUAGGUGGCCUGACAUGUCAACUGUGAAAACCCGGAGCUCAACUCCGGACUUGCAGUUGAAACUGCCAGGCUUGAGGACGGUAGAGGAAGACGGAACUGCCAGUGUAGGGGUAAAAUCCUUAGAUAUUGGCAGGAACGCCGGUGACGAAGGUGGUUUUCUGGGCCGGUUCUGACACUGAUGCUCGAAAGCCAGGGGAGCGAACGGGAUUAGAUACCCCGGUAGUCCUGGCCCUAAACGAUGUUCACUAGGUGUGGGGAGCGGAAAGCUUUCCGUGCUAAAGCUAACGCAAUAAGUGAACCGCCNGGGGAGUACGCCCGCAAGGGUGAA
rnacentral:rRNA from 1 species